GGCGAUGGUGUUCGCCAUAAACGCUCUUCGGAGCUAAUGACACCUAC
rnacentral:ncRNA from 2 species